GGAGAGGUGGUCUAAUGGUAAUGACGCUGUCAGCUUGUAACUGAUAGAGAUGGGGGUUCGAAUCCUCCCCUUUCUG